rnacentral:rRNA from 1 species
AUGCGUUUCUCGCAAGAACUAGGUCCAAGCACCGAACCAGAUCGCAUCAGCGCGCUUCAAGACGACCUGCUCCUCCUCAUCCUCGCAUGGCUAACCUGCAUCGGUGCCGCGGUGCGCACUGGCGUCCUAUCAAGCCGGUGGCGUGGCCUCUGGGCCAGCCUCCGCCAGAUUAUCUUUCGCGACAUCAUGUUCGACUCGAUCGAACUAGUGCUCAACCGCUACGCUCAUCCUUUCCCUAUUGUUUCCCUCCUGGAAAUCCAUGUCUCCGAGCAGGAUAGGGUCGACAGUCCUAGCGUAAACUCAAUGUUGCGCGUUGCUGCACCGCUCGAGACAGAAAAGCUUGUCAUCACCCUCCCCUCGCGCUCUAUAUCAGACCAAUCCAUCAUCGUUGAUUUGCCUUGCUUCCACCAUGCCACUUCCAUCGUGUUGGAGAAUUUUGACAUCAUUCACUGUGUGCUAGCUGACAUCAAAUUCAAUGCCCUCGAAGCGCUUUCCCUUUCGUGCUGCAAAGCCGAUCUUGAUGCCUUACUCUCCUACUGCCCACACUUGCACACGCUCCACCUUAGCGGCCUUUUGUUUGAGACAUGGAACUUGAGGGUGAAUUCUUCGUCGUUGCAGGAGCUUAUUGUGGACACUAUAUGGGCACAACGUGUCAACAUUGUUGCUCCCAUUCUUAAGAAAUUGACCAUGAUCUUUAUUCCAUUGCCGGAGCUCAAGAAUGUUUCUGUCUUGGCCCCAAUGCUGGAGGAGGUCGAGUGGCACUGCACCUACAGUGAUGACUCUAUUGUGUUUGGUCUUUGGAAACUCGAGCUUCUAAGGUUGCCCGCGACAAGGAGGCAAGGAAAAUUGCGUUCACUAUGUAUUCAUGCCUGCGCGAAGUUGUCACUUCUUCCCCAUGAACCCACCUUUGCAGAGGAGAUAGAGAAGCAUAUCAUUUUUAAAUUCUCUAAUUUGAAGCUAUAUCUACUAACAGGAGGACAUAUUUUUGGAGCACUCGUGUUUUAUCUCCUUACGAUUAAUCGAAUUGCUAGUUCUAUGAAGAGGCUGAAGAUCGUUCUGUUGAGAUCGGUGGUGAAAGAAGAAUGUCCAACAGAUUGUCCUUGUGUGCCCAUGAAUUGGAGAACCCAAACUAUCUCCUUAACCGCUCUCGAAGAAGUGGAAAUUAAUGGCUUCAACGGAGAGGAUCAUGAGUUUGAUUUAUUGGAACUAAUACUCAUAUGUGCACCAAUGCUUAAAAGAAUUAUUCUGAGAUUGUCACAUGAGGUCUUACCAAGUGGAAAUGGAUGCACUACAAUAUACGACAUGUCCAAGGUCUACUCUUCAGUGAAAUGCUAUAUUUAUCUUAGCUCU